rnacentral:rRNA from 1 species
AGUCACUGACAUUAGAUACCCGGGUAGUCCCAGCCGUAAACGAUGUGCGUUAGGUGUAUCGACGACCACGAGUUGUCGAGGUGCCGAAGGGAAACCGUGAAACGUACCGCCUGGGAAGUACGGUCGCAAGGCUGAAACUUAAAGGAAUUGGCGGGGAGCACCACAACAGGUGGAGCCUGCGGUUUAAUUGGACUCAACGCCGGGAAUCUCACCGGAUAGGACAGCGGAAUGAUUGCCGGGCUGAAGACUCUGCAUGACUAGCUG